GGUAUGUUUGUUCCUAAAAUAGCAUGAAUAUUAUUACUCAAGAAAUGUAAGACAGGGUCAAAUGAAUCAAGCAGUGAUGUAUACAAAACCUGAAAGCAGAAAGGACUCAUUAAAUCAUGAGGGCCAAGGCAAACACUUGUCCGAGGAUAAUUAUUCACCGUGUUUUCUGUGAUAAUAAACUGCUCUGUUAAAUGCAUUGUGCUCUGAUACUGGAAAAAUAGGGCGCCCGCCAAUGUCAAACGCUGGAUGAAUGCUUUAAUGAAUCCCUGGCAGAGAUGCAACCAGAUACUGAGAACCCUCGUGGGUCUUUGCUUUUCCUACCUUGACUAAAUGGUUCUGUAUCCUUCGGCGUGUGCAAGGUGAUAUUCAAGACUAAUAGUUUUUACAGUGUUAAAAGUCAAAACAAACCAAAGUUGCGAAUUGAAUCUUUUUUUAUUAGUUUUGAGGUCAUGUUUGAUUAGAUUUAAACUAAUUGUGGCAUUGAAUCCUGCAUUAUAUUCUCUCCUCUCUUCUAUAAGGCCUGGGUUAUCUAUUCAGAAAACAAUGCAUUUGCAAACUUGAUUUGACACAAACUGACUGAAUGAUACAUCUGUUGCCUUGGUUACCGCAUGGUAUUUGCAUAGUUUUGCUUUUUUGCUGCUUUUCUGAUCAGUGGAUGAGCGAAACUAUUUCAUACGUCAAAAUAAUUCCAAUAAAUAAUUCAACAAUAUCCACUGGUGUAAGACAAUAGCCAAUAAAUGCAUGAUGAUUGCGCUACUAAAGAAUUCAAACACUUAUGUUAUGUUCUUGCCAACAUUGUCUGUUUACAAAAACAAUGGAGCAAGGCCAUUUUUAUGAAUCCGAUCACGAGGAUCUGCACACAUUAUCAUGGAGAGUGGUGACAGGCACGAGUCCAUUAGCCACUAGGGUUUCAUUGUCUUUACGUGUGUCAGAGCCAGUUGUAGGGUUGUUGCGCUUUUUACGAGCAUUCUUGUUUAAACUCUCUUCAUUCUCAUGGUUCAAUUUGCAAUCAGGGUCUCUUCCUAAACCUGCUCUGAUGGGCCUCUUGUCAAUGAAAAAGCAAUGUUUAUGUUACAGGAUUCUUGCUGUUUAACGUUUGGUUUGGCUCACCUAUCUACCAUUCUAGUGUAUAUGUAACAAUGUAACAAUGACAGGUGGUUUGGCUCACCUAUAUACCAUGUAGUCUAUUUGUAACAAUGUAACAAUGACAGGUGGUUUGGCUCACCUAUCAAUCAUCUAGUGUAUCUGUAACAAUGUAACAAUGACAGGUAGUUUGGCUCACCUAUCAAUCAUCUAGUGUAUAUGUAACAAUGUAACAGACAGGUGGUUUAGCUGACCUUUAUACCAUGGAGUGUAUAUGUAACAAUGUUACACUGUUCUUGCACCUCACAAUUCUCUCUCAACUUGAACAUUUUAAUAAAUAGAAGAAUAUGCUUAAUUUUGUCUUCCAUGUGUUCAUUUGUAACAGUGUAAUGUUAGGUUUGUUUGAAUGUUGUUUUUGUCACAAUUUGAUACCUUUAGUGAGUCAACAUGAGUGUCCCAUCAAUAGAUACUACAUGGAUUUUCCUUAAGACAGCAACAUUCUAUCAUUCAGUGUGGCCUGCUAUGUCCACAACUGUAUUAAUCCUACUAAAAUUGUGUGUUGGUGUUUAAAGGAAUUACUGCAAAACUCUUCUGUCUUCUACACUCCUACUGAAAUAGUUGGCAAACACAUUUAAGUAGCACUUGGUGACUUACAAGUGAGGCAGAGAGGAACACAAGCAAACAGCUGCUUGAGGAAAAAACAUCAAACAAACAACUAGCGCAAAUAACCCCCCCCCCCGAUUUCACAUUGAUCAGACCCAAGUGCCAGAUAGCUGUGAGGAGUUGAGCGUGUUGAACUCAAGAUCUGAAGAGCAGGGGCAGACAUGCAUGAGAAUCACAGGAGACGAGGUUUCAGGUUUCCAGGCUUUCAGACACAAAAACACACAAAUGUUUUCAUGUGAUAUAUUUUGAGCUCGCUGGUGACCCAUGGGAAAUCAAAGGGGCAAGCACCUCUCCAUUUGGUUGAAUCUUUAACAUGAGCAUGAUUAGUUUUGAAAUGAAAUCAAAUGAUGUGGAACAUUUCCAUUAGGUUCACUUUGUUAGAAACAGCACACUGAACCACUUUUAAUUUCAAAGGCUGUAAAAUAAAACAACAAAUCAUGGAUUUAAAAUGAAUCUUCCAACCAGAUCUUGGAUUAGGUCUUCAUGCAGAGAAGAACAAAGAUGUCUGAAAGAAAAAAAGGGGGUUCUAUUGCUGUCACUAGCUCCACUGAUUUCUAUUAUAUUCUAUUAUAUUUGAUUUCUAUUCCAUUCUAUACCUCAACACAACCAGCUUUAUGCAGUAUAACCAGCCAUGAAACGUUCUAAUCAAUAAUAGUCAAGUAUCUGCUCACCGAAGCAUGUUCUCGUCAAUAACGAUAAACCACAUUAGAAGUGAUCCAUUGCUCUAUUCCGGGUCGUUUUUCAACCGGAUUUCCAUCUGAUGAAUCUAUAAUGUUCUGUGAUUGGGCAAGACAGUUCAUUUGAUCCCUAUCUCAGCAUUUGGUGAUAAAUGACUGUAGAAUCUCUACACUCAUCAGACGCAUGAGGCACUGCUGACCGCUUUCAGAUAUCUGUUGUAAGCAUUGUGUAAAAGUAAAAAAAAACCAUUCCCAUUCUCCUCCAAAGAUGCCAUGAGUGAUUCACAAGAAUUCCAUUCCAUAGCCGUAUGGUUUGAGCACAUUCCGGCAUGGUAUACGUGUGUCACAAGGACAAAUAAAGCAACAGCCAAACGUUUGGUUUGUGUUGUCUUUCCGUUUAGUCUGAGUUAAAUGUGGGCAUGAAAGUGUGAAAUCUGUGACAUUUAUAAUUGGUUCUUCAUGAACCACUUUGUGUUCGCUGAAACAUCACGCUGCGGACGUGUGCAGCACGAACAGAAUUCUAGUGCACUUUCUGAUAUAAUCAGUGUGCUAUGCAUUGGCUAUUUCAGAUGAUAAGAGUGACCCCAGGUAAGAGGUGCAUGCCUCAUUACAGUUCAUACCUAUUAAUAAUUCAGAACAUCAAGGUAGGAAAAUACACACACACACACGUACAAAUGUGAACACCUGCACAUGCAUAUAGAGCAUGUAUUUCUCCCUCUCUCUCGCUCUCUCUUUCUCUCUCACACACACACACACACACACGCACACACACAUACAUGUAGUGCACACAUGCAGUCAUGCACACACAAUUCACAACACACACAGCACACAGACACUCACACACACAUGGAUACAAAGAUAGAGCAUUUAUUUCUGUCUCUCUCCACCUUCGCUCUCUCUCUCUCUCUCUCUCUCUCACACACACACACACACACACAUACACUAUCACACACACACACACACACACACACACACACACACACACACACACACACACACACACACACACACACACAGACACACACACACACACACAAACACACACACACACACACACCACAGA
ensembl:lncRNA